GUUGGGGCUGGGUGGGCUGUCCCCAGCUGGCAGCUGCCUCCAAGACAGGGUGGGCGACUGAUCCUGGAGCCUGAAAGGGAGAAUCAUAAGGCCAGCAGGACCAUCUCAUCCAGUCCCCUGGCUCCAGGAAGGGAUGACAUUUCCCCAGCCAGAACACCAAGGGGGCCAGAAUUCAUGUUGAAUGAAACAGAUGCUCUCUGUCC